GGGCGCAUAGCUCAGCAGGCGAGAGCGCUGCCCUCACAUGGCAGAGGUCGAAGGUUCAAGUCCUUCUGCGCCCACCA
rnacentral:tRNA from 1 species